UGACGAUAUUUUCGGACUUGAGGGUCCUA
rnacentral:sRNA from 1 species